rnacentral:rRNA from 1 species
AACGAACGCUGGCGGCGCGCCUAAUACAUGCAAGUCGAGCGAGAAGACGUAGCAAUACGUUUGUAAAGCGGCGAACGGGUGAGGAAUACAUGGGUAACCUACCCUCGAGUGGGGAAUAACUAGCCGAAAGGUUAGCUAAUACCGCGUACGCUCCUUGGACUUCGGUUCAGGGAGGAAAGCGAUACCGUGGGUAUCGCGCUCUUGGAUGGGCUCAUGUCCUAUCAGCUUGUUGGUGGGGUAACGGCUCACCAAGGCUUCGACGGGUAGCUGGUCUGAGAGGACGAUCAGCCACACUGGCACUGCGACACGGGCCAGACUCCUACGGGAGGCAGCAGUAAGGAAUAUUGCGCAAUGGGCGAAAGCCUGACGCAGCGACGCCGCGUGGGGGAGUGAAGGUCUUCGGAUUGUAAACCCCUUUCCGGGAGGGAAGGAUGGAACGAGCAAUCGUUCGGACGGUACCUCCAGAAGCAGCCACGGCUAACUUCGUGCCAGCAGCCGCGGU